rnacentral:rRNA from 1 species
AACGAACGCUGGCGGCGCGCCUAAUACAUGCAAGUCGAGCGAGAAGGUGUAGCAAUACACUUGUAAAGCGGCGAACGGGUGAGGAAUGCAUGGGUAACCUACCCUCGAGUGGGGAAUAACUAGCCGAAAGGUUAGCUAAUACCGCAUACGUUUCCGGAACUUCGGUUUCGGAAAGAAAGCAAUACCGUGGGUAUUGCGCUCCUGGAUGGGCUCAUGUCCUAUCAGCUUGUUGGUGAGGUAACGGCUCACCAAGGCUUCGACGGGUAGCUGGUCUGAGAGGACGAUCAGCCACACUGGCACUGCGACACGGGCCAGACUCCUACGGGAGGCAGCAGUAAGGAAUAUUGCGCAAUGGACGAAAGUCUGACGCAGCGACGCCGCGUGGGGGGAUGAAAGGGUCUUCGGGAUUGUAAACCCCUUUCGGGAGGGAAGAUGGAGUGGGUAACCACUUGGACGGUACCUCCAGAAGCAGCCACGGCUAACUUCGUGCCAGCAGCCGCGGUAAU